CUCGGCUCGGCCCGGGCGCACCUUUUCUCCCUCCUGCCACAAUGUGAGCGCUCAGCCGAGCAGAUAACCGCCGGCUGCCGCUCCACCCCCGGCCCUUGCCCACUCCGCCCACUCCCGAGCGCCCAGAGGACGCCGACUGCGGGAAUGGAAGAAAUUUUUCCACUGCAGAAGAACAAUGUGGUGCCUACGGGAACAUGCCCUGGGAACGUUCUCCAUUCCUCCCAGCCAGGCACUCUGGGCAAUGUGAAGAACCCAGGAAGGAAAACUUAAGGAGACCAUGGUGGGUAGCAGAGCAGGAUUUGGGGAAGCCGUGAGCACGGCUCCAUCUGACCGCCAGUAUGUCUGUCUCCAUCAGUGUCUACCCGCCCUGCUCACACGUGCCUCUCACCCACUCCAUGGGCAACAGGCCUAUCUUUCCCCCAACAUCAAAAGAGCUAUUUCAGUGACUGUCACCAUACCUGGUCCAUAGCCUCUAGUCUAUAUAUGUCUGUCAAAUUAAUUGGCUAUAAACAUGGAAAGGUUUCUCAUGAAAAGAUU